AGUCCUGGUGGCGGUUCAGCAUUCCGUUGCUUAGAAACAGCCACUAUCCUCAAUCACUGCCAGACGCAGAUCCUCAGGAAAAAGAAGAGGAGAGUGAGACAAACUCCUCAGGUUUGCAGGUGGCACUACCGUUUUGGACCUCAUCACUAACAAUGACAGGACCACCUACGGGGAAGAGAUUGCCUGCCUGUUGCUAUGGUGCUAAUAACAAGUUGGGGGCAAUGCAUUCAAGCAGUUAAGAUGAAGAUGGCUCCUGAUGUAAUCCACAUGCUCAUUUUACUCUGGAAAUCAGCACAGAUGUUAACAUGGCUGAGAACAUGAGUCUUUUGAUUUGCUAAAGACCAGAAACCUCUUACAGCCUCAAAUGGGAUGAGAUCAUUAUGACUAUCAUCACAAGAUGGAAAGAGAAAGAAAGGUCACUCCACUCCAUGUAUAGCUAUGCGUGUAUCUUUCUAUUCUUUCAUCAUACUGUGGCCUCAAACUCAACAAAGGAACAAACAAAUACAUAUCUUUUCAAAUAUCACUUUCUGCUAGCUGCCUCUAAUGCUGAAGCUGUCACAAAAGUGUGCAAGACAGACUGCACCAUUCGUACCCUCCCAGGCAACCAAAAACUGUUUCUUAGGGAACAAUGCUAUUCAAACCUGGCACUAUACCUGCCACCUCGACCAUUUUUCUGCCAAGGCUUGUUACACUGCUGAGCUAGCCCCCAUAAUAUCUCCAUCUACUGCCUCUUGUGCAUCUGCCACAAAAAGAAUGUGCUGCAAUCUGAGUGAAAGUCUUUUGGCCUUCAUUCAUCGCUUGCAAUCAUUGUCAUUGGUACUAAAAUGAGUGUUCUGAUGAAAUGCAUGAUUUGUUUGCUUGGGUAAACUUAUUGUAUGUGUUGCACUUUGUCUUUUGGCCUUCAAAAUUCUACUAGGUACAUUUGUCAUACAAAGCAGCUCAUCAAUGACUGGUCGUGUCAACAGAGUUUUGUUGAUGAUGCUUUAUUGAUUCCCAAACUGAAUCACAAAACAGCACUCCAUCACCACAGCCCAGUCAAUCCAACAAGCAACGUUGAGCAAGCAAAUGUGUUUGUUUGUUAUUUGUUUGUUUGAUGAUGUACAGUUUCGGAUUCUGAACUAAUGUGUCUCUGUAUAUUGAAACCACAAAGGUGAACUGUAUAUAAAUACCAGUGCAUUACUGGUUUAGUGAUCUUCUUCUAUCCUGAUAAAAAUUAAAUCUGUACUAUAGUA